UACGUAGGGUGCAAGCGUUUGUCCGGAAUUAUUGGGCGUAAAGAGCUCGUAGGCGGUUUGUCGCGUUCUGCUGUGAAAACCCGAGGCUCAACCUCGGGCCUGCAGUGGGUACGGGCAGACUAGAGUGCGGUAGGGGAGAUUGGAAUUCCUGGUGUAGCGGUGGAAUGCGCAGAUAUCAGGAGGAACACCAAUGGCGAAGGCAGAUCUCUGGGCCGUAACUGACGCUGAGGAGCGAAAGCAUGGGGAGCGAACAGG
rnacentral:rRNA from 1 species